rnacentral:lncRNA from 1 species
CCCAUCCUUCCCAGAGCCCCACCCUAUCCUACUGUCCCCAGUCUUAGCUUCUCCCACCCUGUCUACUCUCUCAGCCUUCCCCACCCUACCCCACCCCAUUCCCUUGAUGCUGACGGACGCUGAAAUGAUCAGGACACAGUUUGCACUUAACCACUAAAUCUUUAUUGAAAUUUUAUUGUAACAGCAAUGCAGUAUUAGUAAAUAGAGAGCAAUACAGAGUGAAGAGAAUACAGCAAUAAAGUUUGAAGGAGAGGUAAGGGUAAUGGGGUUCAGUGGUAGGAGGAGGGCUACUGACAGGGGUGAAAGCAAGGGUUUUUAUUUAUCACUUUUAUAACUUCCAUGAAAAUUUACCAUCCAUCAUUGACAAUUUCAAUCUAGCAAUAAUUUCUCAAAGGGCACUCAUCCUCUAUUAAAUUGUUUAUCUAAUAACCUUUUAACUUUAUCCCACUAGGGUUUUUAUUCUUGUCCAAUUCGCUCUAAAUAAGUUGGUCUCCUGCAGUUCCCUCCAAGUUUAUUUGAAAUGUUUCAGAAGUCCAAGAGGUACCUGCAAACUUAAACAGAAUUCCAGACUGCACCAUAUAGAUGUGCCCCUCUUAUUUCGUGCACCUGGGAGUUCACUGUAUUACUUUACAACUCAAUCAAACUAAUGCUUCUUCUUUCCACUAAGACAAAUACCUCAUUUCCAAACUAAAUUGACCCUUUACAAAUGUAUGCAAACUUUCUCUGUUUCAAUAUCCUAGCAUGAUAAAUUUAGCUAGUUCUCUCUAGGCUUGCCUAUCAAUGGGAGCUCCUAGAUCUUCUUCCUUUUUUAUUUAAUUAACAAUGCAAAUUUGGGCCAAAAGUCAAUUAAUUAAUUUUGCCAGUUUGUCUCAAAGACUCAAUUAUUGAUUUUGCUUAGUAAUUCAAUUCAUCUAUCUCCUUUAUCUUUUUGUAUUUUGCUCCCUUUCUAACUUCUUUAGUUAUCAAAUUCCAUUGAUUUUUUUGCUUUCUUAUGAAUAAAGGCAUUUUUUGUUGAAAAAUGCCAAAAAAAAUUUUAAAGAAUCUAAUUAACAUAAAUUUGAUUAACAACAAAAUAAAUCAAUUGAGUGAAAGGAAACUUAACUAAACUUCAAUAGUACAGCAUAAUAAAUUCAGAAUUACUUAUCCUUAACAUCUACAUUUAUAGAUAGCAUAUAUAGCAAUAGAGCAUAGUACACACUGCCAAAAAGUUAAUCACAAGC